rnacentral:rRNA from 1 species
GGCUCAGGAUGAACGCUAGCGGCAGGCUUAAUACAUGCAAGUCGUGGGGCAGCAUGACUGUAGCAAUACAGUUGAUGGCGACCGGCAAACGGGUGCGGAACACGUACACAACCUUCCUUUAAGUGGGGAAUAGCCCAGAGAAAUUUGGAUUAAUACCCCGUAACAUAUAGAAGUGGCAUCACUUUUAUAUUAUAGCUCCGGCGCUUAAAGAUGGGUGUGCGGCUGAUUAGAUAGUUGGCGGGGUAACGGCCCACCAAGUCGACGAUCAGUAACUGGUGUGAGAGCACGACCAGUCACACGGGCACUGAGACACGGGCCCGACUCCUACGGGAGGCAGCAGUAAGGAAUAUUGGUCAAUGGACGCAAGUCUGAACCAGCCAUGCCGCGUGGAGGAUGAAGGUCCUCUGGAUUGUAAACUUCUUUUAUUUGGGAAGAAAUCUAUCUUUUCUUGGAUAGUUGACGGUACCAGAUGAAUAAGCACCGGCUAACUCCGUGCCAGCAGCCGCGGUAAUACGGAGGGUGCAAGCGUUAUCCGGAUUCACUGGGUUUAAAGGGUGCGUAGGUGGGCAGGUAAGUCAGUGGUGAAAUCUCCGGGCUUAACCCGGAAACUGCCAUUGAUACUAUCUGUCUUGAAUACCCUGGAGGUGAGCGGAAUAUGUCAUGUAGCGGUGAAAUGCUUAGAUAUGACAUAGAACACCCAUUGCGAAGGCAGCUCACUACGGGAAUAUUGACACUGAGGCACGAAAGCGUGGGGAUCAAACAGGAUUAGAUACCCUGGUAGUCCACGCCCUAAACUAUGGAUACUCGACAUCAGCGAUACACUGUUGGUGUCUGAGCGAAAGCAUUAAGUAUCCCACCUGGGAAG